GAUGAACGCUAGCUACAGGCUUAACACAUGCAAGUCGAGGGGAAACGACAGUAAAGCUUGCUUUAUUGGGCGUCGACCGGCGCACGGGUGCGUAACGCGUAUCCAACCUGCCCCCAACUCCGGAAUAGUCCCCCGAAACGGGGGGUUAACGGCCGGAUGCUGCAAUUUUUCCGUCAUGGUGGAAUUGCGAAAUGAAAAAGGUUAGGGGCUGGGGAGUGCGUCCCAUUAGGUAGUAGGCGGGGUAACGGCCCACCUAGCCGACGAUGGGUAGGGGUUCUGAGAGGAAGGUCCCCCACAUUGGAACUGAGACACGGUCCAAACUCCUACGGGAGGCAGCAGUGAGGAAUAUUGGUCAAUGGGCGAGAGCCUGAACCAGCCAAGUAGCGUGCAGGAUGACGGCCCUAUGGGUUGUAAACUGCUUUUAUAAGGGAAUAAAGUUAGUCUCGUGAGACUUUUUGCAUGUACCUUAUGAAUAAGGACCGGCUAAUUCCGUG
rnacentral:rRNA from 1 species